rnacentral:rRNA from 1 species
CGGAUUGCAGCCUGCAACUCGGCUGCAUGAAGCCGGAAUCGCUAGUAAUCGCGGAUCAGAAUGCCGCGGUGAAUACGUUCCCGGGUCUUGUGCACACCGCCCGUCACACCAUGGGAGUCGGAAAUGCCCGAAGUCGGUGACCUAACGAAAGAAGGAGCCGCCGAAGGCAGGUCCGGUAACUGGGGUGAAGUCGUAACAAGGUACC